AUUGAACGCUGGCGGCAGGCCUAACACAUGCAAGUCGAGCGGCAGCGGGAAAGUAGCUUGCUACUUUUGCCGGCGAGCGGCGGACGGGUGAGUAAUGCCUGGGAAAUUGCCCAGUCGAGGGGGAUAACAGUUGGAAACGACUGCUAAUACCGCAUACGCCCUACGGGGGAAAGCAGGGGACCUUCGGGCCUUGCGCGAUUCGAUAUGCACAGGUGGAUUAGCUAGUUGGUGAGGUAAUGGCUCACCAAGGCGACGAUCCCUAGCUGGUCUGAGAGGAUGAUCAGCCACACUGGAACUGAGACACGGUCCAGACUCCUACGGGAGGCAGCAGUGGGGAAUAUUGCACAAUGGGGGAAACCCUGAUGCAGCCAUGCCGCGUGUGUGAAGAAGGCCUUCGGGUUGUAAAGCACUUUCAGCGAGGAGGAAAGGUUGAUGCCUAAUACGUAUCAACUGUGACGUUACUCGCAGAAGAAGCACCGGCUAACUCCGUGCCAGCCGCCGCCGUAACAC
rnacentral:rRNA from 1 species